rnacentral:rRNA from 1 species
GUGGGGAAUAUUGGACAAUGGGCGAAAGCCUGAUCCAGCCAUGCCGCGUGUGUGAAGAAGGUCUUCGGAUUGUAAAGCACUUUAAGUUGGGAGGAAGGGCAGUAAGUUAAUACCUUGCUGUUUUGACGUUACCGACAGAAUAAGCACCGGCUAACUUCGUGCCAGCAGCCGCGGUAAUACGAAGGGUGCAAGCGUUAAUCGGAAUUACUGGGCGUAAAGCGCGCGUAGGUGGUUUUGUAAGUUGGAGGUGAAAUCCCCUGGCUCAACCUGGGAACUGCCUCCAAAACUGCAUGACUAGAGUACGGUAGAGGGUAGUGGAAUUUCCUGUGUAGCGGUGAAAUGCGUAGAUAUAGGAAGGAACACCAGUGGCGAAGGCGACUACCUGGACUGAUACUGACACUGAGGUGCGAAAGCGUGGGGAGCAAACAGGAUUAGAAACCCCGGUAGUCC